ACCUUAGAACGAUCACAGUUCAUAAUUGAAUGAAAUAUUUACAGUACGUUAUGUGGAGUAAACUUUUGUACAUACGGAUAUAUCAAAAAAAUAUGUACAAUUAAUGAUAGCAUCAUAAUAAAGGAUUAAAAAAUUAAAUUGAGCAUUACAAGAAAGAAGUAUAAGUGAAAUCUUAAAUCAAUUCAAUACUACCAAAAUAUUGCACUACUUUCUAAACAUGGGAACUAUUUGAAGCUUUGAGUGCUAUGUCCUGUUAUGGAUGUUACUAUAACAACUAACUGUUUAGACUAAUGAGAGAUGUAUGUUGAUGUUGUUGGGAUAUAAAAAUAGUAAAUAGUUUCUAUGAACUCACUUAUCAGACACAACGCCCCCCACAACCACUCCCACAGAGCCGAUGACGACUGUGACGGCGAAGAGCCACCAGCCUAGGUCCACGUCCGGGAAAUAGUCGCGAUAGUACAGGUCGGAGUUGUAAGCGAAGGUCAUACCACCUGGUGGAAAAUUCGGUAUUUAAUAGCUACACUAAGGUCAGGUUGUUACAACACUAUGUCCACUUAACAUGGGUCCUCGAACUGUGAUUAAGUGGUCCAACUUACCGCAGUGUCUGAUAGAGGCUGCAAGGCAUAACAGCAAUAUCCUCGGUUGGCAAAUCACGUGCCAGAUGGUGACUUGAGGCAUUUUCUUGCCAGCUUCCAAUGUUGCGUCACCACCUUUGUUGGUCCCCGUACCUGUUGUAAAAUUUACCAUUGUGACACCAGUUUAGGGCAACUUUCACGUGUGCUAAGAAGUCUCUUUUAUAGAGAA